UAGUCUGUUUAAAUUAUAAAUCUUUCUUAACCAGUUUUCUCAAUUCAAAAAAGGGGAAAUGGGCUACGAAGCUCAACUAUAAACCAUGACUCUGUUCUUCGUCUGCACCACUUUCUCACAGUCUCGAGUUGAUUGCUUCUCCAAUCUUCCUCGCGUCACUUUGAUAGAGAGCGAGACAUGUGGAGAAAUCUGCAGAGCAAAGAUCAAUGCAUUUGAUGCCACGGUGAUCUGGGACGAGCAAGGCUCGAGCUAAGCAUUUAAAGAGACUGUUUUUGUUUCUAUGACCAUAUUAGUAAAGAACCUACAGCUGCAGUCCUCAGAUAUGAAUAUGAACAUGUUUGUGUAUGUUGUUUCGUAAGAGUUUGCCGGUUACGAGCAGUAAUAAACCGGAGUCCUCAAAUGUGGGUAAAAGUUUUGAGAGUAUUACUUAAGCUGUGGUUUUUCGUUGAUCAUUGUCUCUAACUAUCCUAUUGCAUUUGGUAUUAAAAUGUGCAGGCGUAAGUCUGAAUAAUGAAGAGAAUAAAGCAUGUUUUAUUGGCUUA